GCCAGUGGCGAUGGCACGUUGAACAUACCGGUUCCCCAUGGAUCAACGAAGAUUAGCAACGGUACGCGUGGUUAGUAUCCGGAUGAGUGACCAUCUAGGCAAACGAGUGCAGCUGGCU
rnacentral:rRNA from 1 species